rnacentral:rRNA from 1 species
GAUGAACGCUGGCGGCGUGCCUAAUACAUGCAAGUCGAGCGAACAGACGAGGAGCUUGCUCCUCUGACGUUAGCGGUGGACGGGUGAGUAACACGUGGAUAACCUACCUAUAAGACUGGGAUAACUUCGGGAAACCGGAGCUAAUACCGGAUAAUAUAUUGAACCGCAUGGUUCAAUAGUGAAAGACGGUUUUGCUGUCACUUAUAGAUGGAUCCGCGCCGCAUUAGCUAGUUGGUAGGGUAACGGCUUACCAAGGCAACGAUGCGUAGCCGACCUGAGAGGGUGAUCGGCCACACUGGAACUGAGACACGGUCCAGACUCCUACGGGAGGCAGCAGUAGGGAAUCUUCCGCAAUGGGCGAAAGCCUGACGGAGCAACGCCGCGUGAGUGAUGAAGGUCUUCGGAUCGUAAAACUCUGUUAUUAGGGAAGAACAAAUGUGUAAGUAACUAUGCACGUCUUGACGGUACCUAAUCAGAAAGCCACGGCUAACUACGUG